UUUUAACACAAAUCCCAUUCAUAAAGUCAAACCAAGUCAACAGACCUAGCGUAAAUCUAGAAACUCACUCUAACAGAUUUUUAUUUGGGGCCAUAAAAGCCAAAUUGCGAUAAGCGUUCCAAAUCACAAUUGCUUCGAGCUCCCGGACGAAUGGAAUGCAAAUUUUUCGUCAAAUAUUUGGAGCUAUAUAGCCGGGCCCCAUGCUCGUGGCCCCAAAAUAGAUGGCCAAUCAGUCAGCUGAUCGGUUCGAGUAUUAUGAGGAAGGGGGGAAUUCUCUGUAACUGUCGACGUCAUUAAUCUUGGCCGAGACCGUCAACCGUCGACUGCGGUUGAUAAGCUCCCACUACGACUACGGCUCCGUCUCCGGCUCCGUUUCCCUCCCAAAACACCUAUUCAACGAGAAUGAACAGCGGCGGAGACGACGACGACGACGACACCAUCGCCGCCAGUCAAUGCCAGAGCGCGAAGCGGUCGCGUUGACAUCGGAGGUUCUGCUCUCCAAUAAUUCUCCAAUAGUAUUCCCCCGCCGGCUUCCAAACAAUAUCGAGUGAAAUGUGGACCCAAUGAGACGGCGCCCACAAAGCACAGUCAGUCGUCCGUCAACGCCGGCGUGUCAAUCACAAGUGAAUGCAAUCAAUCUCAAGACUUCCACUCGGUUCGGUGUGGAACCUGGACAAACCGCAACACUAGUAACAACACCAACAAAACCAAAAAUCCACUACAGCAGACGCUAAACACGCGCUACAGGUGUGAGCAGGUGGAACGCGAAAAGAUCGGCGGCACACCUUGGUCGGCACCACACUCACUCCGAUAAGAAGAUAAUUAAACUGUAAUACAUUUCGAUGUCCGAUGUGCCAUUUCGCUUUGGUCGGUGUUAAUUAGGCCUUCACACACUUAAGUGUGCCACUUGAGAUGUGUCCCGGAGUACAUGUAUAAGCCCCUUAAGCUCUUCCUUAUCGCCAGCCGGAUUCGGCCAACGGAGUAGACAAAAGUAACAAGUGAUCUCAGAGAUAACAGAGUAGCUGCGGGUGCGGUACCUAGAUCGGACUCGAACUCGGAAUCACCAGCGAUAACGGUGGCAAAAGAAUCAGCAGCAACAUCUCCCCACAAGCAGCAACAGGUUUCCCAGCCGGGAAACAGCGACGCCGGCAGAAAAAGCAAAGCAAAUGCAGCAACUGCCACAGCAGCAUAUUCAUAAAUAAUCUUUGGUCGCAGAAACAUCGGCGGAUCAACUCUACAACUACAAAAGGAAGUCGGUCUUGUGACUUCGUCGUGGUGCAGGCCAGAGACUGUACGGAUAAUUGAAUUUAAUGUACAAAUAAGCUUCAGGAAUUUGCUUUUAUAAACCCAUACUGCAUGCACGAGUGGCGAAUGCAAUUCCCCAGCUUGCAUUGUUUGCCAUUACCGAGAUACAAUAUUUCACUUCCGAGUCGCACAUCACUCCCGCCUGCCAGAUGAAGUCAUCCAGAAACGGGGGCCAGACCCUCUUAAUCGCUCCAUCGCCCACAGCCCGCCUGAUGCCAUUGCGCACGUACUCCAAUGCCUCCUCACUGGGCCACCACAAUGACAGGACUCCCGGGACUCCAGGAAGUCCGCUGCACGAAGGCGAUCUGGAGGAAAGUGGCUUGGGCUACACCCAUACUUUGAUGUAUGGUCGUUAUACCAAAGAUCUAGGAGAAUUUGCCAAAGAUGAAGCCAGAAAGCUCAAAAUACUUGAAAAGCGACGAAAGCAGGAAGAUAAACAAAGGAAUAAGUGCUGGGAAAUAUUUACAGGAACUACUAGGAAAACAAUCUACCAGAGUCAAGCGGGUCUCAUCAUGGGUCUGGAAGCACACGAUAGCCCGACUGGGCGAGGACUGGGUCUUCCUGGCGCUCCUGGGCAUCAUAAUGGCCAUGCUGUCGUUCAUCAUGGACAAGGGCAUCUCCAUCUGUACAAACGCUCGUAUUUGGCUGUACCGCGAUCUGACGUCACAGCCAUUCGUUCAGUACAUUGCGUGGGUCUCCCUGCCGGUCUGUCUCAUAUUAUUUUCAGCCGGCUUUGUCCAUCUCAUCGCUCCACAAAGUAUAGGUUCCGGUAUACCCGAAAUGAAGACCAUACUGCGAGGCGUGCAGUUGAAAGAGUAUCUCACAUUUAAGACAUUAGUGGCCAAGGUAAUUGGUUUAACGGCAACUCUGGGCAGCGGUAUGCCAUUAGGAAAGGAAGGUCCUUUCGUACAUAUAGCAAGUAUUGUAGCACAAUUAUUAAGUAAACUUGUCACAUCAUUCCAAGGCAUAUAUGAGAAUGAGUCGCGAAA
rnacentral:misc_RNA from 1 species